rnacentral:rRNA from 1 species
GACGAACGCUGGCGGCGUGCUUAACACAUGCAAGUCGAACGGAAAGGCCCCUUUGGGGGUACUCGAGUGGCGAACGGGUGAGUAACACGUGAGUAACCUGCCCUUGACUUCGGGAUAACUUCAGGAAACUGGGGCUAAUACCGGAUAGGAAUCCUUGCUGCAUGGUGGGGGUUGGAAAGCUUCGGCGGUUUUGGAUGGACUCGCGGCUUAUCAGCUUGUUGGUGGGGUAGUGGCUUACCAAGGCUUUGACGGGUAGCCGGCCUGAGAGGGCGACCGGCCACAUUGGGGCCGAGAUACGGCCCAGACUCCUACGGGAGGCAGCAGUGGGGAAUAUUGCACAAUGGGCGGAAGCCUGAUGCAGCAACGCCGCGUGCGGGAUGACGGCCUUCGGGUUGUAAACCGCUUUCAGCAGGGGCGAAGCUUGUGGUGACGGUACCUGCAGAAGAAGCACCGGCUAACUACGUG